AGGUCAGUUUAAUAUGUACCUAAGACAGUAGGAGACACAAGUCUUAAUUAUUAUCCUACCGAGGACAAAUAAGUAAAAAGAAUGUAUAACCUUUUUACAUGUUCUCGCAUGUGAAAAGGUUAUUUUAAUAUGGU
rfam:Gemella asaccharolytica strain KA00071 genomic scaffold Scaffold20, whole genome shotgun sequence.